GUAACAAGGUCUCCGUUGGUGAACCAGCGGAGGGAUCAUUACCGAGUUUACAACUCCCAAACCCCUGUGAACAUACCACUUGUUGCCUCGGCGGAUCAGCCCGCUCCCGGUAAAACGGGACGGCCCGCCAGAGGACCCCUAAACUCUGUUUCUAUAUGUAACUUCUGAGUAAAACCAUAAAUAAAUCAAAACUUUCAACAACGGAUCUCUUGGUUCUGGCAUCGAUGAAGAACGCAGCAAAAUGCGAUAAGUAAUGUGAAUUGCAGAAUUCAGUGAAUCAUCGAAUCUUUGAACGCACAUUGCGCCCGCCAGUAUUCUGGCGGGCAUGCCUGUUCGAGCGUCAUUUCAACCCUCAAGCACAGCUUGGUGUUGGGACUCGCGUUAAUUCGCGUUCCUCAAAUUGAUUGGCGGUCACGUCGAGCUUCCAUAGCGUAGUAGUAAAACCCUCGUUACUGGUAAUCGUCGCGGCCACGCCGUUAAACCCCAACUUCUGAAUGUUGACCUCGGAUCAGGUAGGAAUACCCGCUGAACUUAAGCAUAUCA
rnacentral:rRNA from 2 species